rnacentral:rRNA from 1 species
ACCCGACUGCUAUCGGAUUGAGAUUUAGCCAUGCGAGUCGAACGUCCCCCUGUUGCGGGGGGCGUGGCGUACGGCUCAGUAACACGUAGUCAACCUGCCCUGGAGACAAGGACAACCCCGGGAAACUGGGAUUAAUCCUUGAUAGGUCAUCUCAUCUGGAAGGAGAGAUGGCUUAAAGGGGUACGCGGGCUUCUUCCGCGAAUUCGCUCCAGGAUGGGACUGCGUCCGAUCAGGCUGUUGGCGGGGUAAUGGCCCACCAAACCUGUAACCGGUACGGGCCUUGAGAGAGGUGGCCCGGAGAUGGACACUGAGAGAAGGGUCCAGGUCCUACGGGGCGCAGCAGGCGCGAAACCUUCGCAAUGCGCGAAAGCGUGACGAGGUUAAUCCGAGUGACUUCCGCUGAGGAGGUCUUUUGUCAGCUGUAAAUAGGCAGGCGAAUAAGGGGAGGGCAAGCCUGGUGUCAGCCGCCGCGGUAAUACCAGCUCCUCGAGUGGUCGGGGCGAUUAUUGGGCCUAAAGCAUCCGUAGCCGGUUCCGUAGGUCCUCUGUUAAAUCCAACCGCUUAACGGUUGACCUGCAGAGGAUACCGCGGGACUAGGAGGCGUGAGAGGCGGACGGUACUCCGCGUGUAGGGGUAAAAUCCUUUGAUCCGCGGAAGACCACCAGUGGCGAAGGCGGUCCGCCAGAACGCGCUCGACGGUGAGGGAUGAAAGCUGGGGGAGCGAACCGGAUUAGAUACCCGGGUAGUCCCAGCCGUAAACGAUGCUAGCUAGAUGAUUCAUUCGCAAGUCGCGAAUGAAGUGUCGCAGGGAAGCCGUUAAGCUAGCCGCCUGGGGGAGUACCGUCGCAAGACUGAAACUUAA